rnacentral:rRNA from 1 species
UCGCCACGGUAAUACCGGCCCCGCGAGUGGUCGGGGUGAUUAUUGGGCCUAAAAGCGCCCGUAGCCGGCCCGGUAAGUCUCCCCUAAAAUCCCCGGGCUCAACCCGGGGAUUGGGGGAGAUACUGCCGGGGCUAGGGGGCGGGAGAGGCCGAGGGGUACUCCCCGGGGGUAGGGGCGAAAAUCCGUUAAAUCCCCGGGAGGACCACCCGUGGCGAAGGC